rnacentral:lncRNA from 1 species
GGCCAAUUAAGCUAAAACUAGAGUUGAUAGAGGGCAGUGUGGAGGUCAUUGGAGACCUUAAGAUAAGCUGUUGUUUCUUUACAGAUUUGGACAAAAGCUUGGUGCAGUGGGUUUAGGAAUAAACAGGAGCAAAGGGAGUAUAGAUAAUUCUUUCAAAGAAUUUGGCUAUAGAUAGAAAUAGAAAACAUGGUGUAAUAAGUGAUGAAUAACAGCAUGGGGAAAAGUAACAGCAUGUUCAUGUGUUAAUAGAAAUGCUCCAGUACAGAGAAAAAUCCCUGACGGAGGAGAGCCAGGGAAAAUUAUUAGAGCCUGAGUAGGAAAGUGGGACCAUGUUGGUGUGAGCUGGGUUGGUGGAUGUAUGUUGGGAAUUUGUGAAUUGAAAUAUGUAGCUGUGAGUGGAGGUUGGGAAUGAGAUGCUGGAGAUUAUAUAAAAAUGUAUAAAAGAAUUAUCUUUAAGAGUGAAUGGAUAGGGAAAGACAGUAUUGCUAGAUACUGCCUUUAGAUUAGUGGUAAUAAAUUUAAAAUGAGAUCAGUUUUCAGAUGAUUGUGUAUUUUUUUCUCUAGUUAACUUCUGGCCAGCGUAGGUGAUGAUGUAGCUGCAUAAGUACCUUGGAGAUCAAAGUAGUAGAGUUAGAAAAGCAUGAUAGGAAUUGAUUAUGGUAAACUCUAGAAUUUAAGAUGAUUAAGGAGGGAAAUGAAGAAAGAGGCCGUAAACUGUCUGGUAAGAUAAGUGCUUUCAUUGUAUAUCCC